UUCUUGUUGUUUUGCAUUCUUUUUCUCUCUUCUUUCUGCCUUUACCACUUUUUUUCCCUCUUUUUCCAAACGGAGUGACCGUUGGAUUUAUCCUGUGUGCUGAAUCUGAGGGGGUGAAUGCCUUCAACGAGGACAAAACCCACCUCAAAUCCUACUGCACAACACUGGAGCCAGGAAAGAGAGAAAGUCCUUUACAAGGCUGAGUUGCUGCAGCCGUAGAUCAACCAAAGCUGCCCCCUAAAACUGUGAAUGUGCUCCAGCAAAUCCAGACACACUAUGAGAACACCGCAGUGUGUUGAUAACACACGCCUUGAGAACCGUCAAGAGGGAGUGAAAAGAAGGAGAAAAAAAAGAUCUGCUUUUGAUGGACUUAAUCUAAGCCUUGCUGAAAGAUGUGAUCGAAUCCCAGUGCUGAGCGUGCCUGCAUCCGUCACCAUCUUCUCGCGUUUCAAAUCUUUGGUUUUGGGAUGGGCUCUGCCGAGCUGUCUGCCUUCAGCACACUGCCCCAAGCUGCUCUAAGACCUCAUUGUGCUCAAGGCUGUAGAAAUUUGGGAUAAAAACAACAGCUCUUGCCUCGAAAGUGAUUUUUGCAGAGGCUGAGUAAUGCUUGCAGCUCCAUCAGCUCUCCACCAAAAGCCCGUGGAUGGAUGGGGAGAAAUGGGAGGAAGCGCUCAGUUGAUAUUAGCAUGAUGGGAACAACAACAGUCUGGGCUGCUGUCAUGUUUUGUAUUAUCUAUAAGGCACCACAGUGGUAGAGAGCUUUAUGGAGGGGGCUGGAGAGAUUUUGCAGAUGUUUGAGGGGACUCUUCAGAGAGGGAGGAGGAGCCCGGUGGGAAUGGGGAGGUUCCUGAAAGGGAGCAAGACAGGGAUGGAGGUGGACUUGUGGUGGGUCCGGGGGUCACUCCAAGUUUACCUAGUCCUUCCCUGCCUAUACUGCAGUUUCACUUUCAUGGGAUUUAACCACUUUCAUUUAAAUUUCUCUCUCUACCCACAAAGAACACAAAUGGGAUUCACCAGGAAUGGAAGACCUGAAAGCUGCAGAUGAACUGCAGUCAAACCAAAGGCAGCUCCUGGCUGAACAAAAGGCGAUUCGAGUUGUGGGAGUCUGGAUGUUUUGAAUGGCAAAAUACGGGUUUAGUGGAAGGAAAUUACAGAUGAUUUAUUUCUA